rnacentral:rRNA from 1 species
AUGCUUUCUAGGUCGAUCGGCGUUGAUGUCGAGUAUACGAGGGAAGAUGAACCUCCGCAAAAGGCUGCAGUUCUACAGUUAUGCGUGGAGGAUCUCGUCCUGGUAUACCACAUCACCGCGGCAACCAAAUGGCCCAAGGAACUCUGCCCGCUCCUGCAGGAGAAGAAGAUGUACACCUUUGUUGGCUUCUCCAUUGGAGGUGACAAGGAGAAGCUGAAAUUGUCUGGUUUGGAGAUCAACCCCGACAAGUACGUCGACAUGCAACGCAAAUGGAGAGUUCCAAACAAUGGAAAGAAGUGGCAGGCUUUGGCUGAGUUUGCAGCCAGCCUCAUCCACCCAUCGUACAAGGAAAUGAAGCAGAAGAUCAACAAGGAAUUGGACCACAAACUAUGGGGGGACAGCCCACUGCCAAACAACCUCAUCGAGUACGCAGCAAAAGAUGCGUACGUCACCUACGAGGCAUGGAAGAAAAUCGAAAUCAUCAAAGAAGGUUUGGAGUACUGGCAACAGGCGGAGGAUCAUUGGGAUGACCCCUACUACUGGGGAUAUUGA